UUUGCCAUGUGCAGUGGGUGCUGGAGUCUAAGCUCGUGGAAAACUUCCAAGGCCUGGGCUAUGGUCCUCAUGGCCGUGCGGCCUGCCUUGACACACACAGAAGGGACACAUGCACUAGUGUGCGUUCAGGGGACACGUGAACACACCCCUCAUAUUCAGACAGGUGUAAACAGCUCAGCCACACAAGUGCUGAGCUCCAGCAGACUCACGCACGCAGCCACACAUAUAGACAAGGUACAGGUGUAGCCAGUGUGUGAACAUUGAUAAGUCUGUCAAGGCAGAUAUGUGCACAGUCCAGAACACAAGACGGGUAGAAAGGCAGACCUACAAAUGUGCACAGAUCCCUGCCAACAAACAUGCAUAUCCAUACAUGCACAUAUGCAUACACAAGCUGUCAUGGGCACACUUACAGGGGAACAUGCCUUACUCAGAGCACAGAGCAUUUCUCCAGCCCUCCCUGCAUCCACUGCAAAUGGGGACACAUGUCCUAUCCCUCAGCAGGCAGGGAAGGGCUGGGGGAGGGAACUUCACCUUUUCUUAGACCCAUGGCAAUGGAAAGUGGGCACCAUCUUGGGUGAUGUAGCCAAAUGUCUCCUGUUCUGGGAGUCUCGGCACACAUAGAAGAUUCUGGAGAGGAGGGGGAGGUGCAAGGCAUGAUCCACUUCAAGCAGCCACCAAGCCCAGUGGGAGCUGGGUCUCUGGGCUUAGCAAGACAAGAGCCCAGGGGCCGAGGCUGAGCUGAGGAGCCUCCAAACCUGUAGACAGGGUCAUGCAGUACUAGGGGCGAGCCUCAUCCCCUGCAGCCCUGGCCUCUGCAGGGACAAGGGAGAGGAGAGGGUACGUCUGCAGGAGGGAUUGUGGAUUCAGCCUCCCAUGUAGGAUAUGAAGCGACUCAGGCUGGGAGCAAUCAGAGAUCCCUGGGUUUGUCAUGGCGCUGGGGUCUCCUUAGGACAUCAGAGCCAGCUGUUACCUGCAGGGAAACCAUCCAGAUAUAUUUAGAUACACACAUACUUAGCAUUGCAUUACAAUUGCUGACAGUAUUCAGCACAGUACCAUGCUGUACAGGUUUAUAGUGUAGGAGCAAUAGGCUAUGCCAUGUGGCCUAGUUGUGCAGUAGGCUACACCAUCUAGGUUCAUGUAAGUUUGCCCACCAAAAUUGCCCGGUGACACAUUUCUCAGAAUGUAUCCCCAUCUUUUUUUUUUUUUUU
rnacentral:lncRNA from 1 species